rnacentral:rRNA from 1 species
GAUGAACGCUGGCGGCGUGCCUAAUACAUGCAAGUCGAGCGAACAGACGAGGAGCUUGCUCCUCUGACGUUAGCGGCGGACGGGUGAGUAACACGUGGAUAACCUACCUAUAAGACUGGGAUAACUUCGGGAAACCGGAGCUAAUACCGGAUAAUAUAUUGAACCGCAUGGUUCAAUAGUGAAAGACGGUUUUGCUGUCACUUAUAGAUGGAUCCGCGCCGCAUUAGCUAGUUGGUAAGGUAACGGCUUACCAAGGCGACGAUGCGUAGCCGACCUGAGAGGGUGAGCGCCCACACAGGAACGGAGACACGGUCCAGACUCCGACGGGAGGACGCAGUAGGGAAUCUUCCGAAAGGGGAGAAAGCCUGACGGAGCAGCGCCGAGUGAGUGAUGAAGGUCUUCGGAUCGUAAAACUCUUUUAUGAGGGAAAAACAAAUGUGUAAGUAACUGUGCACUUCUGGACGGUACCUAAUCAGAAAGCCACGGCUAACUACGUG